UGCCUGUAGCACCAAGCCUGUGUUCACUUUUGCCAAAGGGAUCCACCUUACUCGGCCUUAUUUAAAUAUGAUACUCUGUCACGCUCUCAACUGUUAUCAGGUUAGCUCCCGCUCCAUGCCCAUUGUUGGAGCGACAGUCCUGGAAUCCAGAGUUGCAAGUGAGGUGGUGAUACGGCAAGCAGACGGUGGCAAAGUACGGCUUAAAAGCUCUACAUCUGGCAAGUGGCCGGCAUACCACCCCAAUGGACAUCGGAACAGUACACGUAGAGUAGCAUCUCUACGUGACAGGGUAUGAGCGCAAGCCAGUAUUGCCAAGCACUGGGGACCUUUGGCAAUCUGAAGAAUGUUUUGUCCGAGAAUCGAUCCUUGGAUCUGUGGCGUUGCAGUUGUGGUGCUCCCGACCCUCUUGCGAGAUGGCCGCGGAGACUUGGCGAAAAGGUUCGAGACAUAUGGUAUCUCAAUAUCUUCCACCACAAUCAGUACAUCAGCACCACCAUCGAGUGUAGCGACAUCAGCAAUAGAAGACGCACAUGAUAUCAAUCACCCUUACGGCCUUAGCGAAGACCCGGGAAUACCUGAGAAGAUGUUAGCCGCAACUUCACUGAAAAAGUCGUCGGUGACAACGGCACUCCAUAUUUUAGCUGCAUGCAGUUAGGUCUCUCAACAAGUGUACCCAAAGUUUUCAAGCUAAUACACAAGCAAAUUCACUAGGGGCCGAGUAUAUUUUCCUACACCUCUCCCUGUUUGUUGUCACAGUGUUAUUUCUGCAUUCAAAUUGUUUGUGUACCUGUACAUUUAUUACAGUAGAGCCAUGCAUCCACGGCUGUUGUUUCCAAGGGGUCAGGCUCGUCAGUUAUACAAAACCUUUCAGCAAUCUGGCCUUAGGCUUAGUUCCUUGACUUCUUGUACCACUUUCUUAGAUGCACAUCCCACUGGAUAGUGAGCAAUACGUGUGUAGCAGAAUCUGUAUUCCAGAAAAGCAGAGACUUGAGUCUAUUGACACUGCGUUUCUUUUUAAAACGUUAUUGGCUGUGGUGUUCCUAGAGGUAUACACGUACA